UGGGGCGCCUUCCCUUUCAUCCUCGGGAUUAUGACAAGUUAUUAAUUGCCACCAUUAGCCGCAGCAGCCUGCCCGAGAUCUCUGCUGCUCUCUGGAGACCCACAAAUCCUCCCCAAGCGCUCUUUACUAGCCUUGCAGAUAAUGUACUUACACAUCUCAGAGCCUGCUAAAUAGACUGAAGAGGCCAUCGGGUUCACCCUCCACACUGCGGCUGCCAGGACCGCGCAGACCCAAUGCGCGGCCUCUGCCAAGGGCCCGCGGAUGGAGACAUCAAGGAAAGGCCAUGUGAGAAGACAACUGUGUGCAAACCAGGAAGAGAGCUCUUGCCAGAAACUGACCAUGUUAGCACCUUGAUUGUGGACUUCUAGCUUCCAGAAGCAUGAGAAAAUUAGUUUCUGUCAUUUAACUUAUCCAGUCUAUGAUAUUUUAUUAUUACAACCCAAGGAAACUGAUGUACAUGCUCCUAGCACUGUACCAGACAUGAAGUAAUCAAAGAUAAAUAAGACCAAUGACUGCCCUCAAAAGCUCAGGGAUAUGUAGGAAAAAUUGACCAAUAGACAAACAAUGGCCAAAGUAAAUAUUCUGGUGGAUAACAGGAUCACCUGCUUGAAAUCAUCCUGAUUUAUUUUGUUAAGUGAACAACAAUUUUAUCUGCUCUUCAACACUUUUGAGUAUGAUUGAAGGAUUCGAUGUCGGAGCUAUUAAUACUAUUUACCAAUACUUCAGUU